UUUGCAUCAGAUGGUUGGGAUAUGUAUAUUAAUUAGAAUGGCUCGUAUAAACUUGCUAGUACUACAUGCAAUAGAUAUUAAUAGUCAUAAUACGAGGCAACGUAUAAAAAGAAAAAUUCAAGACAAUAUAAAAUAACGACUAUUAAAAUUAUCAAAGCCGAUCGAUUCCUGUGGCUUUGAGAAUAACAAAUGCGAACACAUAUAUGUUUAGGAUUUAUUAUAAUACAUACUGACAUGAGCUUCAUGCAUCUAUAGCCAAAGCACUAACGAUUCUGCUGUACACUUUGUCUUCAACAAAUUAUGACUCUGCCUGGUGUGCCAUAUAAUACAGAAUAUUUCCCUUCUUCCAAUCCUUCGCUUCUUCAUCGCUCUCAGCAUUGACUUCAGUUGUGAGAUUGACGAAAACAUCCUGCUUUUCGUUUACAAUGGAAUGAAAAGCCUUCUUCUCAUACGCAUUAAAACUUUCAAAUUUAAAAAUACUGCAGACUUGUUGAUAUAAAUAGCCCAUGCGUUGAAGGAC